rnacentral:lncRNA from 1 species
CGAGAAGCAAGACUAUCUCUGAUCAUCCAUUCAGGAAGCGAGACUAUCCCUGAUCACGUUUCCGCCACAUCCGGAAACUGUGAAGGCGACCUUAUGCUCUAAUCUCCUGAGGUCCUUCUAGACUAGGAGAAAUGAGAGCUUGUUGUUUGCUCCCACCAGCUUCCUUCCUUGAUUGCUUACCUUCUCUUGCAAUCAAUAUCACAUUAUUUUUGCAUUUUU